ACGAACGCUGGCGGCGUGCUUAACACAUGCCAGUCGUACGGUAAGGCCCUUUCGGGGGUCCACGAGUGGCGAACGGGUGAGUAACACGUGAGUAACCUGCCCACAACUUUGGGAUAACGCUAGGAAACUGGUGCUAAUACUGGAUAUGUGCUCCUGCUGCAUGGUGGGGGUUGGAAAGCUCCGGCGGUUGUGGAUGGACUCGCGGCCUAUCAGCUUGUUGGUGGGGUAGUGGCCUACCAAGGCGGCGACGGGUAGCCGGCCUGAGAGGGUGACCGGCCACAUUGGGACUGAGAUACGGCCCAGACUCCUACGGGAGGCAGAAGUGGGGAAUAUUGCACAAGGGGCGCAAGCCUGAUGCAGCAACGCCGCGGGCGGGAGGACGGCCUUCGGGUUGGAAACCGCUUUCAGCAGGGACGAAGCUUUUUGUGACGGUACCUGCAGAAGAAGCACCGGCUAACUACGUG
rnacentral:rRNA from 1 species